rnacentral:lncRNA from 1 species
CAAACAAGAUAUACAAAUUACUAAUAGAUUUAAUGAAAUCUCAAAGAAGCCCACGUUCAAGGUAUUACUCAGUAAAUACAUAUCUUAUAUAUCUUAACUUAAGAUUUACUAUUCUAGCUUAAUUCAAAUUGAAUUUUUUUGAAUCCUUUUAUUUGCGAGGAGCUGGAUGAGAAGAAACUCUCACGUCCGGUUCUGUAGUAGAGAUGGAAUUCAGAACCAACCAUCAACUAUAACCCCAAAAGAACCAGAUUCCGUAAACAACAUAGAGGCAGAAUGAAGGGAAUAUCUUAUCGAGGUAAUCGUAUUUCUUUCGGUAAAUAUGCUCUUCAGGCACUUGAACCUGCUUGGAUUACAUCUCGACAAAUAGAAGCAGGCCGACGGGCAAUGACACGAAAUGCACGUCGUGGUGGAAAAAUAUGGGUACGUAUAUUUCCAGACAAACCUGUUACAUUAAGACCGGCAGAAACCCGUAUGGGUUCAGGAAAAGGAUCCCCUGAAUAUUGGGUAGCUGUUGUUAAACCGGGGCGAAUACUUUAUGAAAUGGGUGGAGUAACAGAAAAUAUAGCCAGAAGGGCUAUUUCACUAGCAGCAUCCAAAAUGCCUAUACGAACUCAAUUCAUUAUUUCGUAAUGUAAUAGAAAAAAAUGUAGAAAGGGCUCUUAGAUAUGAAAGAAAACCGCAUGUUUCUUUUUUUUGGACAAAAAUAUUUCUUUUUUUUUCUUCGCCCUUUGCAUUCAAAGAACGGAUUAAAAAAAUGAUUCAACCUCAGACCCAUUUAAAUGUAGCGGAUAAUAGCGGGGCUCGAGAAUUGAUGUGUAUUCGAAUCAUAGGAGCUAGCAAUCGUCGAUAUGCUCAUAUUGGUGACGUUAUUGUUGCUGUGAUCAAAGAAGCAGUACCAAAUAUGCCCCUAGAAAGAUCAGAAGUAGUCAGAGCUGUAAUUGUGCGUACCUGUAAAGAACUCAAACGUGACAACGGGAUGAUAAUACGAUACGAUGACAAUGCUGCAGUUGUUAUUGAUCAAGAAGGAAAUCCAAAAGGAACUCGAAUUUUUGGUGCAAUCGCCCGGGAAUUGAGAGAAUUAAAUUUUACUAAAAUAGUUUCAUUAGCUCCCGAGGUAUUAUAAAAUGAAAUUGUGAUCUGUUUCGAGUGGGGUAUUUGAAAGAAAUAGAUUAAUUAGUAGAUUGUGUCUCACGCAUAUAUCUUUAAUAAUUCAUAUCAUAUUCAAAAAUAAAUAAGUAAAAAACACGUUGAUUAUAUCAAAUUUGGAGACCCCAAUAAUUUUAGUUCAUCAUGGGCAGGGACACUAUUGCUGAGAUAAUAACUUCUAUACGAAAUGCUGAUAUGGAUCGAAAAAGGGUGGUUCGAAUAGCAUCUACUAAUAUUACCGAAAAUAUUGUUCAAAUACUUUUACGAGAGGGUUUUAUCGAAAACGUGAGAAAACAUCGAGAAAACAACAAAUACUUUUUGGUUUUAACCCUGCGACAUAGAAGGAAUAGGAAAAGACCCUAUAGAAAUAUUUUAAAUUUAAAACGAAUCAGUCGACCUGGUCUACGAAUCUAUUCUAAUUAUCAACGAAUUCCGCGAAUUUUAGGUGGAAUGGGGAUUGUAAUUCUUUCUACUUCUCGAGGUAUAAUGACAGACCGAGAGGCUCGACUAGAAGGAAUAGGUGGAGAAAUUUUGUGUUAUAUCUGGUAAUCCUUUAUAAUAUGCAAAUUGAAUUCGAAACUUCCUAUUUGCGAAAAAGGGGGGGAGAGUUAUCUAAUAUCUUUCGCAUUAGUUGAUACCUCAAAGGAACUUUGUUUUAUACAGAUACUGCCAGGAGAUAGAGUCAAAAUUGAAGUAAGUCCUUAUGAUUCAACCAAAGGACAUAUAAUUUAUCGACUCCACAACAAAGAUUUGAAGGAUUAGGUUUUCAACUUCACCAUUCCUUUCGUGGGAAUACAAUUCGAGAUGAAAAAUUUCAAGAAACUUAUUUUCUUCCAAGAAAUAGAUUCAGAAUUAAGGUAAGGAAUGAUAAAUAUGAAAAUAAGAGCUUCCGUUCGUAAAAUUUGUGAAAAAUGUCGACUAAUCCGUAGGAGGGGGCGCAUUAUAGUAAUUUGUUCCAACCCGAGACAUAAACAAAGACAGGGCUAAUCAGACUUGCCAGAAGAGCCGAUGUACAAAUAAAGAAUCUGUUUUGACAUGAAAUGGAUAUAUCCAUAUAUCUCUGACUCAUAUUUACGAGAUGAUAAAAUAUGGCAAAAGCUAUACCGAAAAUUAGUUCGCGUCGGAAUGGACGUAUUAGUUCACGUAAGGGUGCACGUAGAAUACCAAAGGGAGUUAUUCAUGUUCAAGCAAGUUUCAAUAAUACCAUUGUCACUGUUACAGAUGUACGGGGUCGAGUAGUUUCUUGGUCCUCAGCUGGUACUUCUGGAUUCAAAGGUACGAGAAGAGGAACACCGUUUGCUGCUCAAACCGCAGCAGCAAACGCUAUCCGUACAGUAGUGGAUCAAGGUAUGCAACGAGCAGAAGUCAUGAUAAAAGGUCCCGGUCUCGGAAGAGAUGCAGCAUUACGAGCUAUUCGUCGCAGUGGUAUACUAUUAACUUUCGUACGGGAUGUAACUCCGAUGCCACAUAAUGGCUGUAGACCUCCGAAAAAAAGACGUGUGUAGAACUGAACAUUGAAGAAAUCUCAAGAGAAAUAAAAGAUUCGAUGAUCUAAUCAAAUAAUAGUACUAUGGUUCGAGAGAAAGUAACAGUAUCUACUCGGACACUACAGUGGAAGUGUGUUGAAUCAAGAACAGACAGUAAACGCCUUUAUUAUGGACGCUUUAUUCUGUCUCCACUUAUGAAAGGCCAAGCCGACACAAUAGGCAUUGCGAUGCGAAGAGCUUUACUUGGGGAAAUAGAAGGAACAUGUAUCACACGUGUAAAAUCUGAGAAAGUACCACAUGAAUAUUCUACCAUAACGGGCAUUCAAGAAUCGGUACAUGAAAUUUUAAUGAAUUUGAAAGAGAUUGUAUUGAGAAGUAAUUUAUAUGGAACUUCUGAGGCGUCUAUUUGUGUCAAGGGUCCUGGAUAUGUAACUGCUCAAGAUAUCAUCUUGCCACCUUAUGUGGAAAUCGUUGAUAAUACACAACAUAUAGCUAGUUUAACGGAACCAAUUGAUUUUUGUAUUGGAUUACAAAUAGAGAGAAAUCGUGGAUAUCUUAUAAAAACGCCACAUAACUUUCAAGAUGGAAGUUAUCCUAUAGAUGCUGUAUUCAUGCCUGUUCGAAACGCGAAUCAUAGUAUUCAUUCUUAUGGGAAUGGGAAUGAAAAACAAGAGAUACUUUUUAUCGAAAUAUGGACAAACGGAAGUUUAACUCCGAAAGAAGCACUUCAUGACGCAUCCCGAAAUUUAAUUGAUUUAUUUAUUCCCUUUUUACAUAUGGAGGAAGACAACUUAUAUUUACAGGACAAUCAACACACGGUUCCUUUAUCCCCUUUUACCUUUCAUGAUAAAUUGGCUAAACUCAUAAAAAACAAAAAAAAAAUAGCAUUGAAAUCGAUUUUUAUUGACCAAUCAGAAUUGUCUUCCAGGAUCUAUAAUUGCCUCAAAAUGUCCAAUAUAUAUACAUUAUUGGACCUUUUGAAUAACAGCCAAGAAGAUCUUAUGAAAAUUGAACAUUUUCGUAGCGAAGAUAUAAAACAGAUAUUGGACAUUUUAGAAAAAUAUUUCGUAAUUGAUUUAGCAAAAAAUAAGUUUUAAAUCUAUUGGACUUACUUAGUGAAAAUAGAUUGAAAAAGCACAAUUUAGCACAAUUAAUAUAUCAUAUAUUAGAUAUUAGAAAGAAAUUAAUAAUGAAAUUGAAUAGAUGUAUCUAGGGAGAAUUCGCUUUGAAGAAACUAUUCCCUAGAUACACAUGUCGUGUUAGUUCACAAUUGAAUCAAUUAAAAAAUUUAAAAAAGACCUAAAGUUAGGGAUUUAUCAAUAGGUAAUGUUGCACCAAUGCCCAACCAAAGGGCGACUGCGGUACCAAUCAAAAAGACAGUCGUCGCUACUGGACGGCGAAAUGGAUUUUGGAAUUUAUUAACAUUCUCUAAAAAAGGUACUGUUAAUAAUCCCGCAGGUACUGAAACCAUUAAAAGAACCCCCAAUAAUUUAUUGGGCACUGUACGAAGUAUUUGAAAUACAGGAAAGAAAUACCAUUCAGGUAAGAUUUCCAAAGGGGUUGCAAAUGGAUCCGCUGGUUCACCAAUCAUUGAUGGUUCUAAAACGGCUAAGCCUACAUUACAUGCAAUAGUACCUAGAAUUACUACUGGAAAAAUAUAUAAAAGAUCAUUGGGCCAUGCGGGCUCGCCAUAAUAAUUAUGACCCAUACCCUUAGCCAAUUUAGCUCUUAAUACAGGAUCAUUCAAGUCAGGUUUUUUUGUUAUUGGGAUAGGUGAAUUCUUAUAGAUCCAUCCCCCGAGGGAACUGGACAUGAUAAUUUUUAAUCAUCCAGCUCGAGCAAGAAUAAAAAGAACCAAACGAAUCCAUAUAUCCAUAGAAAAUAUCUAUAUGGUACCUGUAUUUACACAUACACAUAUAUGAUAUAGGAAUGGUUCAAUAUAAGAAAAAUUUGACUGAAUUCUUUUUUAUGGAGUUGCAACUCUCCAUUACAAAACAAAGAAUUCCGUUCUUACAAGUAAAUACUCAAGACCCAAGUAGGCUUACAAAUCAGAUCAUGAUAUGAUCAAGUGCUUUCUGGGUCGUCUCAGACCUUCUAAUUGGUAUUUAUCUCCAAAAUGCUUGGAGAUACACAUACAAGGUUUGCUUGUUACUAAUAUAGUCUAGCCUCUCUUCUUCUUUAGAUCCCUUGUUUCACUCCGAUAGUAGUAUUGAUCGUGUCAAUGCAGAGGAAAUGAAUACAUUUACAUACUAUUAAAUCUUCUAAGUGAACUAGAUAAAAGGGAAUCUUGAUUCCCUUUUAUCUAGUUCACUUAUACUAGAUCUUACGGAGCCUGCUCAUGUACAACAUGAUUCGGAUCAUAGAAAA